ACGCUCGACACCUACGGGAGGUAGCAGUGGGGAAUAUUGCACAAUGGGGGAAACCCUGAUGCAGCGACGCCGCGUGGAGGAAGAAGGUCUUCGGAUUGUAAACUCCUGUUGUUGGGGAAAAAGNGGAUGGUACCCAACAAGGAAGUGACGGCUAACUACGUGCCCGCAGCCGCGGUAAUCUGAGCGGGCUGGCAAGGC
rnacentral:rRNA from 1 species